GUGUUAUUAGUUUCUUAUGUUGAGAAUUUAGUUAUUUCCAUAUAUAAACGGAAACUACAAAAGAAUGAAGAAAGUGUCUCCAGCCCAAUUUGACCGUUAUUUGUGUUUGGUGGUAGCUUAUUAUAAGCAUUGUGUUUAAGUUUCACAAUAUUUAGUUGAAGCAAACUUAAGAUAGAGAACAGAAAAUCAGUGUCGUGAAUUGCGUACAUAUGUACAGGGGUAGACCAAAUUACCCCUUUACCUUGAAGCCGG
rnacentral:lncRNA from 1 species